rnacentral:rRNA from 1 species
AUUGAACGCUGGCGGCAGGCCUAACACAUGCAAGUCGAGCGGUAGAGAGGUGCUUGCAUCUCUUGAGAGCGGCGGACGGGUGAGUAAUGCCUAGGAAUCUGCCUAGUGGUGGGGGAUAACGUUCGGAAACGGACGCUAAUACCGCAUACGUCCUACGGGAGAAAGCGGGGGAUCUUCGGACCUCGCGCCAUUAGAUGAGCCUAGGUCGGAUUAGCUAGUUGGUGAGGUAAUGGCUCACCAAGGCGACGAUCCGUAACUGGUCUGAGAGGAUGAUCAGUCACACUGGAACUGAGACACGGUCCAGACUCCUACGGGAGGCAGCAGUGGGGAAUAUUGGACAAUGGGCGAAAGCCUGAUCCAGCCAUGCCGCGUGUGUGAAGAAGGUCUUCGGAUUGUAAAGCACUUAAGUUGGGAGGAAGGGUAGUAACCUAAUACGUUGCUACUUUGACGUUACCGACAGAAUAAGCA